AACGAACGCUGGCGGCAUGCCUAACACAUGCAAGUCGAACGAGACCUUCGGGUCUAGUGGCGCACGGGUGCGUAACGCGUGGGAACCUGCCCUUAGGUUCGGAAUAACUCCCCGAAAGGGGUGCUAAUACCGGAUAAUGUCUUCGGACCAAAGAUUUAUCGCCUUUGGAUGGUCCCGCGUUGGAUUAGCUAGUUGGUAGGGUAAAAGCCUACCAAGGCGACGAUCCAUAGCUGGUCUGAGAGGAUGAUCAGCCACACUGGGACUGAGACACGGCCCAGAAUCCUACGGGAGGCAGCAGUGGCGGAUAUUGGACAAUGGGGGGAAGCCUGAACCAGCAAUGACGCGUGAGUGAUGAAGGCCUUAGGGUUGUAAAGCGCUUUUACCCGGGAUGAUAAUGACAGUACCGGGAGAAUAAGCUCCGGCUAACUCCGUG
rnacentral:rRNA from 1 species